AUGUAUACUCUAAUCUUCAGUUAGAUCUUCACAAUACCUAAUAACACACUAAAGGCUCUGAGAAGUUCUGCAGUAAGGAAGUCGGUUGAAUUCAGAGUCCCCAGCCUUCUUGCUGCCAGCUUUGUCUUUUUCCUACUGGCUCUUAGUUGCUUCUCUUCCAUGGAGCCUCUCUUGGAAAAUACUGUAUCAAGGGUGCUUUUGAGUCCCGAAGACCUUCCUAAACUGCUUUUAGCUUCAUUCUGACACAGCGAGUCUGCACUCUGCUGGAACCUACUGUACAGAAAAUGGAGUCUAAGUCCUUGUUUAAGCAAAAUGACGAGAUUUUUUUCAGAUGGCUCCAUCUGGAGGCAAGGGAGAGCUGCCGUCCUAUGGGGAAAGGUGGAUGAGCACCUGAGGGUUUUUUAAGGAAUAUAUAGAGGAUCAACACUUUGUUUGCUGCGGGAUCACAGCAAGGCUGGAGUAAAGGUUGCGGGAGUAGAGCUCACGCACGCGCAUCAUGCUCUGCCCACCAUGGUCCAGAACCGACAUGGGUUUAGGAUGCCUCCUUAGGGCUGAGACAACCUUAUUCAUAAGAGUUUCAUCACCAGAUCUAUAAUGGUUAACUGGGCAAGCCAUGAACCCUGGAGUUCUCUUCUAAACCGUGUCCAGUUUUCAGAAUACAUACUAAAUGACGCUUUAUUUAAGCAGGUGAGAAGAAAACAGGUAUUUUCACUUUGCAUUUGAAACUUGCGGUGAAUACAUGGACUAGCUUUAUCUUCAGAAACUAACUGGUAACAGUUUCCCUUGCCUCUGAGAAGGGACCCAAACAAGAGGAAUACUUGGUCUUCAAUAAAUGAACAGCCUGGGAGUUACCAUCGUGGCUCAGUGAUUAAUGAAUCCUACUAGGAACCAUGAGGUUGUGGGUUCAGUCCCUGGCCUCACUCAGUGGGUUAAGGAUCCGGCAAUUCCCAGAGCUGUGGUGCAGGUCGCUAGGGGUCAAAUCAGAGCUACAGCUGCCGGCCUGCACCACAGCCACAACAGCUCAGGGAUCCAAGCUGCAUCUGUGACCUAUACCACAGCUUAUGGCAAUGCCUGAUCCUUAACCCACUGAGCGAGUCCAGGGAUCAAACCUGCAUCCUCAUGGCUCCUAGUUGGGUUCAUUAACCACUGAGCCACGAAUCGAACUCCCAGAAAAAGUUUUUUAAAAAUAGUCCCUUGGGGAAAGUUCUAACCAUUCCUGCCAACUCCCAGGCAGCCUACAGAGCACUUCAUUCAUUAACUCUCUUCUUUAAGUUUUUUUUUUUUCAUUUUUUAAAGUUUUAUUGAAGUAUAAUUGAUUUACAAUGUUGUGAUAAUUUUUACUGUACAAGAAAGUGAUUCAGUGAUACACAUAUAUACAUUUUUCCAGAAUCUUUUCACAUUUGGAUGAUCACAGAAUAUUGGGUAGAGUUCCCUGUGCUGUAUGUCAGGUCCUCGUUGGCCAGUCCAUAUAAGAUAGUGUCAAUUUUUUUUUAAUUUAAUUUUUAUUUUAUGUUGGAGUGUAGUUGACCUGCAAUGUUGCAUUCCCUUCAGGUGUACAACAAAGUGAUACAGUUAUGCAUAUACAUAUGUCCAUUCUUUUUCAGAUUCUUUUCCCAUAUAGGUUAUUACAGAAUAUUGAAUAAAGUUCCCUGGGCUGCACAGAAGGUCCUUGUUGAUUAUCUGUUUUAUAGAGAGUAGUGUGUAGUCUCAUUCUUUCACUCAGUAAAUACGUACCAUGUGUCCACUUGUGCCAGGUGUUGUCCUGAGCACUGGGGAUGCCCUGCCCUCAGGGAUGAGAAUGAACAUUUUUUUGUCUUUUUAGGGCAGCAUCGGCAGCAUAUGGAGGUUCCCAGGCUAGGGAUCCAAUUGGAGCUGUAGCCGCCGGCCUAGGCCAGAGCCACAGCAAUGCUGGAUCUGAGCUGUGUCUGUGACCUACACCACAGCUCAUGGCAGUGCCAGAUCCUUAACCCACUGAGCGAGGCCAGGGAUCGAACCUGCAUCCUCAUGGAUACUAGUCAGGUUUGUUAACUGCUGAGCCAUGAGGGAAACUCCAGAGAAUGAGCAUUUAUACUUGUUAUAAUAAUGAUAGGAACUCCCUCUUACAUAAUGAGAGUUACUUAAGUGCUCUUAGAGCACUGCUCUAUGUGCUGACUUAUGAAUUCUCUUAAUUCUUUGAGGUGGAUACCAUGAUUAAAUCCAUUUUACAGAUGAGAAAAUAGAAACCCUUUAGUGGUUCAGCUACUUUUCCAGUCUCACAGAAGAGGUGGGGUCCCAGAGUUCCCUAGUGGCUCAGCAGGUUAAGGAUUUGGCCUUGUCACUGCUGUGGCUCAGGUCACUGCUGUGGUUUUGUUUUGAUCCCAGAUCUGGGAACUUCCUCAUGCCAUGGGCACAGCCAAAGAAAGAAAAAGCCUUUAAGAGGCAGGCCAGGGAAAUGAGGCCCCAUGAGUUCUGAUCACAGGUGUCAGCCAGGGGCGUGAUUCCAGCACACAAGGCAGGGACCAUGUGAUGGCCAUUUUAAGUCAGGUUGGGAUUGCCACGGAGCAGAAUGAGGGUUCACUGCCCUCCUGGCCCCCAGUGCACACAUCAGACUGUCUCUAGGCAGAGACCUUUUAGACUGGGCGAGGCUCACAGCCCUGCCCUCGGUCUGAAGACAGCUCUGGCUUUCAACCUUCCCUCAUCUGCCAGGCGUAAGGAGCAUGGAGUACAGAGCCAGGUCGCAGGGGUGGGACGGGGAUGGGGGCGGGCAAGGGCAGCGCACCUGUGGCAGUGACAGGUCCCGAAACCCUGCCCCUCUUGUUUGGACUCAAUCCCAGCAUCCACAAAGACCAGGGCCAGAGGUGGCGCAUAUAGCCUCCUGCUUCCUUUGGGCUGGCAGAUGCCUGCUGGCUGCCUGCCUCAAGGUGGCCCAGCUUAUGACUCUGUUCCUCUCCCCAGACAACACGGGGCCCCAGUGGCAGGGAGUGGGCCCCACAGGAGGCAGAAGACCUAGGUUUCCACUCUCCAGACAGUUGUCUGGCCACGCUUCUGUCCCCGAGGGCCUGGCCAUGGGGCACCUGGCUUUUAGAAGGGGGCAUGCUCUGGAAAAGGUGUGACUGAGUCCUUUACUUCUCCCAGGCCUCUGAAACGUUCAGGUCUUUGAGGGGAAAGCAAGGGAAGGGCUGAGAAGGCUCCCUACCCACCUUAGUCCAUUAACUCACAGCAGCCCAUUUUAUAGGGGAGGAAACUGAGGUGCUUGGUCAGAGAGAGAUGGAAGGAGGUGAGGAAGAAGUCCUUUAUUUAAUUAUUUAUUUAUUUCUCUUUUUAGGGCUGCACCCGAGGCAUGUGGAGGUUCCCAGGCUAGGGGUCAAAUCGGCGCUAUAGCCACCAGCCUAUGCCAGAGCCACAGCAAUGCAGGAUCCGAACCACGUCUGGGACCUACACCACAGCUCACGGCAAUGCCAGAUCUUUAACCCACUGAGCAAGGCCAGGAAUUGAACCCACAACCUCAUGGUUCCUAGAUGGAUUCAUUUCCACUGCACCACGACAGGAACUCCAGAAGUCCUUUAUUUUGGUUCAGAAUCAGAAGUGAAGCCAGAGGAGCAGGGCCCGCCCAGGCAGUGAGGCUUCUGAGGCUCAGCCCCAACCAUUGUGUUUGCAGAAACUGAGUGGUGUUUUGAUUUGUUUGGGUUUUGGGGGGUUUGUUUCUGAUUUGCCAUACCCACGCAUGCAGAAGUUCCUGGGCCAGGGAUCAAACUGCACCACAGCAGUAACCAGAGCCACAGCAAUGACAAUGCCAAAUCCUUAACCCACUGAGCAAGACCAGGGAUCGAACUCGCAUCCUCAUGGAUACUAGUCGGGUUUGUUACCGCUGAGCCACAACAGGGACUCUGACAAGGGCUCACUUUUCACUGAUGAGGAGUUUGAUGAGAAAGGUUGGGUUCAGUUGGCAGCUGGUUGGGAGAAGGGAACUAAGGAAGGUUCACCUGUGCCGUUAUGAUGAAGUCCUACUGUACAGCACAGAGAACUCUGUCCAGUCUCUUGUGACAGAAAAUGAUGGAAGAGGGUGUUCCUGUUGUGGCUCAGUGGGUUAUGAUUAAGGAUCUGGCAUUGCUGUGGCUGUGGCGUAGGUCAGCAGCUGCAGCUCCAAUUUGACCCCUAGCCCAGGAAAUUCCAUAUGCUGCAGGUGCAGCCCUAAAAAGAAAAAAAAAAAGAAAGAAAGAAAGAAAAAACGGUGGACGAUAACAUGAGAAAAAGAAUGCCAUUCACACACACACACACGUAUAUGCACACGUGUAUAUAUAUAAACUGGGCCACUUUGCUGUACAGCAGAAACAUACAACAGUGUAAAUCAACUAUACCUUAAUUUAAAAAAAUAAAAACAAGAGUUUCCAUCAUGGCUCAGUGGUAACGAACCCAACUAGUAUCCAUGAGGACUCCGGUUUGAUCCCUGGCCUCCCUCAGUGGGUCAAGGAUCCGGCGUUAUCAUGAGCUGUAGUGUAGGUGGGCAGCUACAGCUCUGAUAGGACCCCUAGUCUGCAAACCUCCAUAUGCCUUGGGUACAGCCCUAAAAAGACAAAAAUA
ensembl:lncRNA